rnacentral:lncRNA from 10 species
UUGGGAGGCUGAGGCAGGAAACUCACUUGAACCCUGGAGGCUGCAGUGAGUUGAGAUUGCCCUACAGCACUCCAGACUGGGCAACAAGAGCAAAACUCUGUCUACAAAACAAAACAAAAAUUAGCCUGGUAUGAUGGCGCACACCUGUAGUCCCAGCCUGAGCAACAGAGUGAGACUCCGUCUCAGAAAAAAAAAAUAUUUCCACAGUUUAUUUUCUCACAGAUAUUAGCAACAUGGCUGUUAUCCUAUAGGGCUCCAUGGACUUUUUUUUUUUUAAAUAUUAAAGGAUGUUUCUUUAUUUGAAAACUCUGGAAACCCCUGUUCUAAAGAAGAGACAUUUAUAUAAAUAUUUCUAGUGCUUGAGGUUUACUAAAAAAAUGAGAAAAGACAAGAGUUCUGGAGACUGGUUGCACAACAUUAUGAGUGUACUUAAUGCUACUCAAUUGUACACUUAAAAUGGGUAAGAUGGUAAAUUUUAUGUUAUACAUAUUUUACUACAAUUAAACUUUUUUAAAAAUGAGAAAACACACCAGGCAUGAACCACUGCCCCUGGCCCCUUCAACCCACUCUUUAUUAUAAAUCUGACUUUGGGUAUGCCACUCAACUCCUCUACAUCCCAUUUUCCUUAACUGUAAAGGAGGUUUAUGGAAAUGCCUCCCUACAGGGUUGUCAUAUACCUUUGAUUGCAUGCAAUAAACUUCAUAAAUCAUGUGCAUAUAGAAACUAUCAAUGCAUAUUCAACAGCUGCUGCUGUUUACUCAGCUCUUUAAGGGAUGGGUUGGUCCCAGGUGCAGAAGGAGGAGGCUCUUGUAUGUGGCUGGAAGGAAAGGAAGCUUCACAUCUGCACUUUUCACUAUUAUUCGCAGCAUCUAGGUAGUGCCUACACACAGUAGAUGUUCAAUAAAAUUUUUUAGAUGAAUUAAUGAUGGUGUAAUGAAUAAGUGGUUGAAAUCAUUGUCUUUUGGAAAAUAUUAUGCAAACACAUAGAUUAGAAAUGUUGACACCAUUUGACCCAGUGAUUCAAUUUAUGGGAUCCAAAAUAAAUACCUCUAAGAUAUUAAAAGCUUAACGCACAAAGAUGCUCAUUGCAGUGCUAGUGAAAAUGGUGAAAACCUGGAAAUAACCUAAAUGAUCAAUACAGUGAUAACCUAAAUGAUCAAUAUUUUUACCCCAGCAAGUGCAUAUGCCAAAGCUGACUUCACCAGUCCACCAGAUGCAACCGUUAGCAUAUGCACUUGAUAGGGUAUAAAAUAUUAACAUGAAAUAUAUUUGUGAUGCAUAGAUGCUAUCGUGGAAAAUGCUUGAAAAUAGUAUCAAGUGGAAAAAGGAGGUUUAAACUGUGGUAUUAUCACUUAAUGGAAACAUGUAAUAUUCCUUGGGAAGAUAAAAAUCUAUGCCCAGAAGAAGAUUAGAAAAUAUACAAAAACCUGGGUGGUAGGAGUAUAGAUAAUUCUUUUUCUUUCUUCUCUUGCUCUUCUCCUUGUUAUUUUUUCUUCAACAUUGUACAACUUAUCUGUACAAAAUUGUGCAUGUAACUUCAUAUAAAUGAGAAACAUGCCCAUCAAAUGAGAAAGAAAGGCUGGGUGGACAGAUGUUUAUCGACCACAGUGGCUGCAGCCUUUCAGUCCUAAAUGUCAGCAGCAGUGGGAAGCAAUGCUGAGGAGAGGCAGAAAAAAGAGAAAGGGAAAUGAGCGUUGAGGAAGAGGAAAAUAGAAAGAGGCGUACAUAUAAUUGUAGUGGGGACAGGGGGCACCCUUAUUUUCUAGUGCUGUGAUGUGCUCCUGGUAUUUCUUCUUGUAAGACAGCUGGAAGGAGCGUUGCAUGGAAAGGCCCCUGCUGCCCCAGCAAACCCACGGUGCACUUGCUGCGCUUUCCUCUUGGUGGGUGCGGUUGAGUUGUCAGGAGCUCAAUAGGUUGUAACCCAUGUGAGCUUGCCCACAGGAAGGUGGGAGGCUCACCUCUCCUGCCAACUCCCCAACCAAGUCAGAAUUAAUCACUUCUCAAUGCCCCAUGUAUUCUGUAUUUUGCAAAUAUGAAGAAACCUGUAUACAUGGAAUAGAUUAUGGAAUUUGAGGUAGCAUGGUGCGGGGUGGAAUUUAGGGAUAAUUUUAUUCCAAACGCUUCAUGUCAUGGAUAAGGAAGUUUG